rnacentral:rRNA from 1 species
UGAGGGCGAGUUGCAGCCCUCAAUCCGAACUAAGAUUGGCUUUAGGAGAUUUCCAUCCCCUUUCGGGGUAGAUACCCAUUGUACCAACCAUUGUAGCUCGCGUGUAGCCCGGGAUAUUCGGGGCAUACUGACCUACCGUUGCCCAUUCCUUCCUCCGCUUUAGCAGCAGCGGCGGUCCCCACAGUGUACCCGUCACUCCGGAGAGUACGCUGGCAACUGUGGGCGUGGGUCUCGCUCGUUGCCUGACUUAACAGGAUGCUUCACAGUACGAACUGACGACGGCCAUGCACCACCUCUCAGCUAAUCCGGCAAAGUGCUUCAG